rnacentral:rRNA from 1 species
GAUGAACGCUGGCGGCGUGCCUAAUACAUGCAAGUCGAGCGAACGGACGAGAAGCUUGCUUUUCUGAUGUUAGCGGCGGACGGGUGAGUAACACGUGGAUAACCUACCUAUAAGACUGGGAUAACUUCGGGAAACCGGAGCUAAUACCGGAUAAAUUUUUGAACCGCAUGGUUCAAAAGUGAAAGACGGUCUCGCUGUCACUUAUAGAUGGAUCCGCGCUGCAUUAGCUAGUUGGUAAGGUAACGGCUUACCAAGGCAACGAUGCAUAGCCGACCUGAGAGGGUGAUCGGCCACACUGGAACUGAGACACGGUCCAGACUCCUACGGGAGGCAGCAGUAGGGAAUCUUCCGCAAUGGGCGAAAGCCUGACGGAGCAACGCCGCGUGAGUGAUGAAGGUCUUCGGAUCGUAAAACUCUGUUAUUAGGGAAGAACAUAUGUGUAAGUAACUGUGCACAUCUUGACGGUACCUAAUCAGAAAGCCACGGCUAACUACGUG